rnacentral:rRNA from 1 species
GGAAUAUUGCACAAUGGGGGAAACCCUGAUGCAGCAACGCCGCGUGAAGGAAGACGGUUUUCGGAUUGUAAACUUCUGUUCUUAGUGAAGAAAAAUGACGGUACCUGAAGAAUAAGCUCCGGCUAACUACGUGCCAGCAGCCGCGGUAAUACGUAGGGAGCAAGCGUUAUCCGGAUUUACUGGGUGUAAAGGGCGUGUAGGCGGGCCUGCAAGUCAGAAGUGAAAUCUGGGGGCUUAACCCCCAAACUGCUUUUGAAACUGUGGGUCUUGAGUGAUGGAGAGGCAGGCGGAAUUCCCAGUGUAGCGGUGAAAUGCGUAGAUAUUGGGAGGAACACCAGUGGCGAAGGCGGCCUGCUGGACAUUAACUGACGCUGAGGCGCGAAAGCGUGGGGAGCAAACAG